UUCUUAAAGAAAUUAAUUUUAAGUAUAACCUGCUCAAUGAUAAUUAAAUAGCCGCAGCAAAUCUGUGCUAAGGUAGCAUAAUCAUUUGCUUUCUAAAUAAAAGAUAGAAUGAAAGGUUAAACGAUAAAACACUAUUUCAUAACAUUUAAUAAAAUUAAUUUUAAAGUAAAAAAUCUUUAAUAAAUAAAUUAGACGAUAAGACCCUAAUAAACUUAUUCAUUUAGUUGGGGCAACAAAAUAAUAUUUUAUCAAUAAAAUUAUUAAAAUUAAU
rnacentral:rRNA from 1 species